rnacentral:rRNA from 1 species
GACGAACGCUGGCGGCGUGCUUAACACAUGCAAGUCGAGCGGAAAGGCCCUGCUUUUGUGGGGUGCUCGAGUGGCGAACGGGUGAGUAACACGUGAGUAACCUGCCCUUGACUUUGGGAUAACUUCAGGAAACUGGGGCUAAUACCGGAUAGGAGCUCCUGCUGCAUGGUGGGGGUUGGAAAGUUUCGGCGGUUGGGGAUGGACUCGCGGCUUAUCAGCCUGUUGGUGGGGUAGUGGCUUACCAAGGCUUUGACGGGUAGCCGGCCUGAGAGGGUGACCGGCCACAUUGGGACUGAGAUACGGCCCAGACUCCUACGGGAGGCAGCAGUGGGGAAUAUUGCACAAUGGGCGGAAGCCUGAUGCAGCAACGCCGCGUGCGGGAUGACGGCCUUCGGGUUGUAAACCGCUUUCGCCUGUGACGAAGCGUGAGUGACGGUAAUGGGUAAAGAAGCACCGGCUAACUACGUG